UGUCCUCCCACAGCCCACGGAUUCCUUUCUCUGUCAGAGGGGCCACUGAAGGCAAACUGUCCCAGGGCCUGACAGAGGGAUGCCGCUGUGGCUGCUGCUGCUGUGGGGAGGGCCCCUGCUUUGGGUUCUGGGCUACCAGCUGGAGCUACAGGAGUCCGUGACUGUCCAGGAGGGCUUGUGUGUCCACGUGCGCUGCAAAUUUUUUUUGCCCUGGUUUAGCUUUGGAUUCAUCUCCAUAUCUUGGUUCCAGAAAGGGGCAGAUGUUUACUACGAUCCUCCAGUGGCCACAAACAAACCAGACAGGAAGUUGCAUGAGAGGACCCAGGGCCGGUUCUUCCUCCUUGGGGACCCCCAGACCGAGGACUGCUCCCUGUACAUCACAGAUGUCAACAUGGGGGACAGUGGGACUUACUUCUUACAUGUCGAUACACACUCAUAUCUAUAUAAUAUGCUUUCUCUGAAUGUGACAGCUCUGACCCACACACCUCACAUCCUUACCCCGGGGACCCUGGAGUCCGGCCGCCCCGGGGACCUGAACUGCUCUGUGCCCUGGGCCUGCGAGCGGGGAAUGCCCCCCAUCUUCUCCUGGACGUCAGCCGCCUUCACCUCCCUGGGUCCCAGGACGCGCCUCUCCUCAGUGCUCACCCUCACCCCACGGCCCCAGGACCACGGCACCAACCUCACCUGUCAAGUGCAAUUCCCUGCAAUUGGUGUGAUGGUGGAAAGGACCAUCCAGCUCAAUGUCACCUAUGCUCCACAGAACACAGCCAUCAGGAUCUUCCAAGGAAACAGAAUAGCCCUAGAGACUCUGCAAAACACCUCGUCCCUUCUCAUCCGGGAGGGCCAGGACCUGCGGCUGCUCUGUGCUGCUGCCGGCAACCCCCCCGCCGAGCUGAGCUGGUUCUGGGGGUCCCCUGCCCUGAAUGCCACCCCCAUGUGCACGACCCACAUCCUGGAGCUGCCUCAAGUCGGGGCUGCGGAGGAAGGAACGCUCACCUGCCGAGCUCAGAACUCGCUGGGCUCCCAGCACGUCUCCCUGCGUCUCUCUGUGGUCUGCCCCCCGCGGCUGCUCGGCCCCUCCUGCUCCUGGGAGGGCGAGGCUCUGGGCUGCACCUGCUCCGCCAGAGCCCGGCCGGCCCCCACCCUGCGCUGGCGGCUGGGGGAGGGGCUGCUGGAGGGGAACCACAGCAACGCCUCCUUGACCGUCACCUCCAGCUCCGAGGGGCCCUGGGCCAACAGCUCCCUGAGCCUCAGGGGGCCGCUGCGCUCCGACCUCAGACUCGGCUGCGAGGCCCGGAAUGAGCACGGGGCCCAGAGCACCGCCGCCGUCCUGGUGUUGCUGCCAGAUAAGCCAGAACCCAGGGCCAGUGGCGUCCUGGGAGCUGUCGGGGGAGCGGGCAUCAUGACCCUGCUACUUUCUCUCUGCCUUUGUCUCAUCUUCAGAGUGAAGACCCUCAGGAAGAGAGCAGCCCAGCCAGUGCAAAUCAUGGAUUUGAACCCAGCCGGUGACUCAGGCUCUGGGGCGCAUCGGCACCGGGUCUUGACAGACAUCCCUGCAGACCCCCCAGCUCCUGCUGGGACUAGCCCCGUUUCAGGAGAAGAACAGGAACUCCACUAUGCUUUCCUCCGAUUUCCCAAGCUGAAGCCUCGGGAACAGGAAGGCGUCAACACCGAGUACUCAGAGAUCAAGACAUACAACCCUUGGAGAAUGGCUCGUCUCUUUCAGUCCUGGAGGACCAGUCCCUGCACCUGGUCUGUGUCAACAGCAAACCCCCCCCCCCCGCCCCAGUCAGGCUGAGCUGGGCCCCGGGGAGCUGACCCUGUGCUCCUCAAAGCCCUGGAACCCUGGGAUGCUGGAGCUGCCUCAGGCACAGGAGAGAGAUGAAGAGGAAUACACCUGCUGAGCUCGGAGUGCGGUGGGCUCCCAGCACGCCUCCCUGAGCCUCUCUCUGCAGGGUGAGUGUCCAGGGGCUGCACAGUGGACCCUAAUCCCUCAAUGCCAUUUGGCUCACUGGUCCCUGAGCAGGCAGCCCCAGAGCCCGCUGUCCAGCUGCCGGAAGGCCAGGGCACGGGGUAGCGUGCGGCUCAGGAACGUGGGGUGCUACAGCGAUGACGCAGGGGGGCCUGGGGGACCGAUGUCCAGAGACCAGCCAGGAGCAGAGGACACGGUGUAGCAGUCAAGCUCAUGAAUCCACAAAUCCAUCAUCUUUCGCCUCAUCGUCCUCGUGACCAGACUGAAAGGUCCCAGUGUCUUCUCUCAGACUGAGAUUCUUCAGGAAGGAGAAGCCAGGCCUGCAGGGGGCAUGGAGGAGGCCAACACCACCCCCAGUUAAUCCCUCAGGUGAGUGACGUGGGCAGCUCACCACCCAACAUCCCACCAUCACCUCCUCCAGGAUGGCCCCAGGAUUGCUUCACUCAGCACGGCCGAGGUUGAGCUGCCACGUUCCUCUUGAACCUUCUUCUCUGCUGGGAUUCCCUCACAUGGCUGGCAUGGUCUCAUCUCUAAGGCCAGAACCGGGGGUGUGGUUCUCCACCGUGACCUCCCUCUGUUCUGCCUGGUCCACUACAUCACCUGGUCUUGUCCAUCCUUCCUCUAAGCUCAUCCUAGCUCCCGUCUCCUCCCCAUCCUGACCCUGCUUGUUCCUGCGGCCUCCUCUUUUCCCCGGGCCUCUAACGCACCUGUCUCUUGCCUCCCCCUCCGUCCUCAACACUGAGUCUCGGGACACCAUUAUCAUCCACUUUCUCCACAGUAUGAAGACCUAGGAUUCCUCUCCACAGUCCAAACUGAGGGGCAAACAGGCUAGAUUUGAAGACCUGAUAUGGUCUCUUUCCCACUGAACUCUCCACCCAGGUCCCUACCUCUCCCUGCAUCUUACAACGUCUCCACACCCAGCCGGGUUAGGGUUUUCCUGACUCUGAGACUUUGCCUAUGCUGUUCCUUCUCCUGAAAUGCCAUUCCCUCCCCAUUCCUGCCUCUCCAAGUCCUAAUUACCUUCAGGAUCAGUCUUAAAUGCCACUCACCUGUGUGUGUGUGUGUGUGUGUGUGUGUGUGUGCAUAUGUGCGAACCUGUGUGCAUAUGUGUGGUUGUAUGGUUUUGAGUGGAAGAGUGAUAGCCAGUCAUUUACUCAUAGACUUAUUUUUUAAAAAUAUUUGUUUCUUUUUUUUUUUAAAGUUUAUUUACUUAUUUAUUUUGAGAGACAGAGGGAGAGAGCACAAGCAGGGGAGGGCAGAGAGAAGGAAAGACAGAAUCCCAAGCAGGCUCCACGCCAUCAGCGCAGAACCCGAUGCAGGGCUCGAACUCACCAACUGUGAGAUCACGACCCGAGCCAAGAUCAAGAGUUGGAGGCUUAACCAAGGAGCCCCACUCAUACACUCGUCCGGAAGUAUCGUUGAACACCUGCUACGUGCCAGCAUUUUCAUGGGUGCCAGGGUACAACCAUGAACACAACUUCGAAAUCUCUGUCAUCCAAAGGACUUGAGUCGGGCGCCUGGGGGGCUCAGUCGGUUGAGCAUCUGACUCCAGCUCAGGUCAUGCUCUUGCUCAUCCCCAGUUCAAGCCCCACCUCGGGCUCUGUGCUGACAGCUCAGAGCCUGGAGCCUGUUU